rnacentral:lncRNA from 1 species
AAGAAGACAGAAAAAGAAGAACUCAAAGAUACACAAAGUAAUUUGACCAAGGCUCAGAAGUUUUUGGAGCCGUGAGGGACACAGCAGUUUGGUCAAUAUUGUCUUAACAUGCUUCAAAUAAAUCAGCUUCUCUCCAAGAUAAAAUUGGCAAACCCAAAAGAGAAAACUGCAAUGUAUCUGGUAAAUGAGUUAGCCCGUUUCAAUAGAGUCCAACCCCAGUAUAAACUUCUGGAUUAAAGAGGGCCUGCUCAUUCAAAGAUGUUCUCAGUGCAACUGAGUCUUGGUGAGCAGACAUGGGAAUCCGAAGGCAGCAGUAUAAAGAAGGCUCAACAGGCUG